AUAGCACAUCAGUGAAGACAAAAAGAGUUGUUACUCAGUUCUUUACCCUAGAAUAAAUCAAAUCAACAAAUAUUUAUUGAAUGUCUACUAUGUGCAAAUAGCCCUGGACUGUUCAGCUUUUAAAAGCCAUCCAACUUUUCACAUUAACAAAUCAAAGCAUUAUUAUUUCAAGCAUUGCAGAAGCUGCUUCCAUGUCCUUAAGGUGACAAAGCAUAUGAGGACUUUGCAAGUACUUGGAGUAAAGGAAGAGAAGAGAAUUCACAGAGUGAAAAGAGGAGAAAGAGUGCUCUAAAAUAUCACCAAUGGACUGCAACAUUGAAGUUAGAGACAAGGUCAUCAGCCAAGACUGGGGAGAAAGGGAGAUGAAAAAGCCUGGAGAAAGUUUAACUCAUCUAAGAGGCUGUUAAGUGAAUCAACAAAAGAUGCCAUUUUCUAUUAAGUCAUCUAUUUUAUUAAAGAGUUAAAUGCAACUGUUGCUGUAUAUCAUGAAUUUAUGAAAGAUUUAGGAGUGGGAGUUCUUUUUUUCUCAAAAAAAAUGAGACAGGUUACCAUCUUUUUAUAUAGGAGUGGUACAAACCUCUUAUUUGAAAUACCCAUCCUAGGGUAAAUAUUCAUUGAUACAAAUAAUUGGUAACCUUUGUUUUGGCUUUUGGACUGUGUCUCUCAAAGGAAAAAAAAAAUCUUGCUGUUUUCAAAAGUUAAAUAGAACAUCAACCAGGGACCAUGGCCAUCCAGAAG
rnacentral:lncRNA from 10 species